UACGGAGGGGGCAAGCGUUAUUCGGAAUUACUGGGCGUAAAGCGCGCGCAGGUGGUGCGAUAAGUGGCAGGUGAAAUCCCUCGGCUUAACCGGGGAACUGCCUGCCAAACUGUCGCGCUUGAGGCUGGGAGGGGAGAGCGGAAUUCCUGGUGUAGCGGUGAAAUGCGUAGAUACCAGGAGGAACACCGGUGGCGAAGGCGGCUCUCUGGACCAGUUCUGACACUCAUGCGCGAAAGCGUGGGUAGCAAACAGGAUUAGAUACCCUGGUAGUCCACGCCCUAAACGAUGGGCACUAGGCGUCGCGGGUGUCGACCCCUGCGGUGCCGUAGCUAACGCGUUAAGUGCCCCGCCUGGGGAGUACGGUCGCAAGGCUGAA
rnacentral:rRNA from 1 species